rnacentral:rRNA from 1 species
UACGAAGGGGGCUAGCGUUGCUCGGAAUUACUGGGCGUAAAGGGCGCGUAGGCGGGUCGUUAAGUUGGGGGUGAAAGCCCAGGGCUCAACCCUGGAAUUGCCUUCAAUACUGGCGACCUUGAGUAUGGCAGAGGUGUGUGGAACUCCGAGUGUAGAGGUGAAAUUCGUAGAUAUUCGGAAGAACACCAGUGGCGAAGGCGACACACUGGGCCAUUACUGACGCUGAGGCGCGAAAGCGUGGGGAGCAAACAGG